GUAGGCCUCAAGUGAUGUGUGA
rnacentral:rRNA from 4 species